UACGGGGGGGGCAAGCGUUGUUCGGAAUUACUGGGCGUAAAGGGCGCGUAGGCGGCCUGCUAAGUCAGACGUGAAAUCCCUCGGCUCAACCGAGGAACUGCGUCUGAUACUGGAAGGCUUGAAUCCGGGAGAGGGAUGUGGAAUUCCAGGUGUAGCGGUGAAAUGCGUAGAUAUCUGGAGGAACACCGGUGGCGAAGGCGGCAUCCUGGACCGGUAUUGACGCUGAGGCGCGAAAGCUAGGGGAGCAAACGGG
rnacentral:rRNA from 1 species